CCAGUCAGACACCUAGAGGGGAAACAUCCUUGUCAGGUGUUGGCUAUAACAGGGGCUAUAACAGGGGUGAUACAGUUUCUGGUCAGGUGUUGGGCUAUAACAGGGGCUAUAACACGGGUGAUACAGUUUCUGGUCAGGUGUUGGGCUAUAACAGGGGCUAUAACACGGGUGAUACAGUUUAUCUGGUCAGGUGUUGGGCUAUAACAGGGGCUAUAACACGGGUGAUACAGUUUAUCUGGUCAGGUGUUGGGCUAUAACAGGGGCUAUAACACGGGUGAUACAGUUUAUCUGGUCAGGUGCUGGGCUGUAACAGGGGCUAUAACAGGGGUGAUACAGUUUAUCUGGUCAGGUGUUGGGCUAUAACAGGGGCUUUAACAGGGGUGAUACAGUAUAUCUGGUCAGGUGCUGGGCUAUAACAGGGGCUAUAACAGGGGUGAUACAGUUUAUCUGGUCAGGUGUUGGGCUAUAACAGGGGCUAUAACAGGGGUGAUACAGUUUAUCUGGUCAGGUGUUGGGCUAUAACAGGGGCUAUAACAGGGGUGAUACAGUAUAUCUGGUCAGGUGUUGGGCUAUAACAGGGGCUAUAACAGGGGUGAUACAGUUUAUCUGGUCAGGUGCUGGGCUAUAACAGGGGCUAUAACAGGGGUGAUACAGUUUCUGGUCAGGUGUUGGGCUAUAACGGGGGUUUUACAGUUUCUGGUCAGGUGCUGGGCUAUAACAGGGGCUAUAACAGGGGUGAGACAGUUUAUCUGGUCAGGUGUUGGCUAUAACAGGGGUGAUACAGUUUAUCUGGUCAGGUGUUGGGCUAUAACAGGGGUGAUACAGUUUAUCUGGUCAGGUGUUGGGCUAUAACAGGGGCUAUAACAGGGGUGAUACAGUAUAUCUGGUCAGGUGUUGGGCUAUAACAGGGGUGAUACAGUUUAUCUGGUCAGGUGCUGGGCUAUAACAGGGGCUAUAACAGGGGCUAUAACAGGGGUGAUAUAGUAUAUCUGGUCAGGUGUUGGCUAUAACAGGGGUGAUACAGUUUAUCUGGUCAGGAGUUGGGCUAUAACGAGGGUGAUAUAUGGUUAGGAGUUGGGCUAUAAACGAGGGUGAUAUAUCUGGUUAGGAGUUGGGCUAUAACGAGGGUGAUAUAUCUGGUUAGGAGUUGGGCUAUAAUGAGGGUGAUAUAUGGUUAGGAGUUGGGCUAUACCGGGGGUGAUAUAUAUGGUUAGGAGUUGGGCUAUACUGAGGG
rnacentral:lncRNA from 1 species